rnacentral:rRNA from 1 species
UAGGGAAUAUUAGUAAUGGGCGAAAGCCUGAACUAGCAACGCCGCGUGUGCGAAGAAAGCCUUCGGGUUGUAAAGCACUCUUUGAGAGGACGAGGAAGGACGGUACUCUCAGAAUAAGUCUCGGCUAACUACGUGCCAGCAGACGCGGUAACACGUAGGAGGCGAACGUUAUCCGGAUUUACUGGGCGUAAAGCGCGUGUAGGUGGUUUGGUAAGUAGGGCGUGAAAGCUCCUGGCUCAACUGGGAGAGGCCGUUCUAAACUGCCUAACUAGAGGAUGGUAGAAGUAGGUGGAAUUCCUGGUGUAGCGAUGGAAUGCGCAGAUAUCCUGAAUAACACCAGUGGCGAAAGCGGCCUCCUGGACCAUUCCUGACACUCAGACGCGAAAGCUAG